rnacentral:rRNA from 1 species
GGAAGUAAAAGUCGUAACAAGGUUUCCGUAGGUGAACCUGCGGAAGGAUCAUUAACGAACUUUCGAAGGACGCCAGUUGCUGCUGGGCUUCUCAGAAGUCAACGUGCACACGGUUCUUUCUUCUUGUUCAACCAAUCUACCCCUCUCUGUGCACCCCUCGUAGGCUGAGAUCCCUCGGCCUACGCUCUUCCCACAAAGCAUCCCAAAUUUAUCAGUGAAUGGGCAACCGUUCGAGCCUUGUCUCGACGAAGCAGCAUCUAUAACUUUCAACAACGGAUCUCUUGGCUCUCGCAUCGAUGAAGAACGCAGCGAAAUGCGAUAAGUAAUGUGAAUUGCAGAAUUCAGUGAAUCAUCGAAUCUUUGAACGCACCUUGCACCCCUUGGUACUCCGAGGGGUAUGCCUGUUUGAGUGUCAUCAGACCAUCAACCCGGAAAAGCUUUUGAAGCUCACCGGCGCUUGGAGCUUGCGGCGUGCGGGGAAAGGCUCUCGCGAGCUUCCGCUCCUCGCGGAAUACAUCAGCGGAUGUCCAGUUGCGGUCCGGCUUUGGCGUGAUAACUGUCUUACGUCCUGGCAGGGGGUCGCGUGCCUUGGCUCUGCUUCGAACACUCACCGCUCUUGCGGCGGAAUGAUUGACGAACUUGACCUCAAAUCAGGUAGGAUUACCCGCUGAACUUAAGCAUAUCAAUAAGCGGAGGA